UUACGAGUGUUCCCAUCAAGAUUAUGAUAAAAAACCUCAUUUGGGAGAUCUUCGUUAGAAGAAACCAGUAUACAUGCUCGGGCAAAUGCUAAUCUCGUCUACACAACUAUUGUUUUGUCAAUGUAGAGUGGCUGUCCCAAAGUGCUGUAUAACUUUACAAUAAAAUGUCGACUCCAAAGAAAUAGAGGAAGGCCUUGAAAGGAUACCCAUAAAGGAAUAGACUAUAGGCUGUCUAACUCCAAACGAACAUCAAGAGACCAACGUCGUAGGAUCAUUGGGUGUCCAAGAAUAAUCCAGAACACUUCAAGGACCCGUUGUAAAUCAUCUUCAGAGUAUAUAUAGCUUACAAACAAAGAAAUCGUUUUCCAACAUAUGAAGAUCAAAUGCCGAUGUUCCCCAUCUAGUUUUGAUAAAUGAAGAUAGUGAAAAAUAGGAUGUUUUAAGUUAUACCACAUAGCCAACAAUCACCAUAGACCAUGUCUCAAUCAGCUCUGCAGAAUCAGCAGUCUCGUACACAGCAAUCUUCUUAUCAGCCUGAACUUCUAGAGUAAAGAAAUCCAAACUGAGAUCCGGAUUUCCAACUGGAGCCUUGAAGAGGCUAGUCUAAGGCCGAUGAUCACUAGAAAUGAGAACAUUUGGUCGUGAUCUAGAGCGUGACUUGCUUCGAUACUGAUUCGUCGAAGGAACAUCUUACCAGAAAGAAGAUAACGGAGGAGCAAUUGGGCCAUUGCUACCAUGUCUCUGUAGCGUUGGGAGGGCUACACACUCAAUGAUAAGGGGAAGAAGGAGAGUAGAGAGGCUGCACGCAGUUGCCGCCCCCCAAUGAAACUCUCCUUUGUUCCACCGAGCAGAAUAGGAGGAGAGCAGCACGUAGUUUCCCCCUUCUCUAUUCCCGCUGGCAGUUAGGCAAGAAGAGGAAGAAGAGAACCUGCCCCUUCCUAUCUCUUUCGCUUGAAGAAGAACAGAAGGGAGAAGCCUCUUUUCCUCUGUUCGACGGAGAGCAAAGGGCUGCAGAAGGAAGUCACAGCUUUCCCCGCCUGGCCCCUUUUCACCGAUGAGAAGAGGAAGGAGGAUAGCAGUGUCGAUAGCAAUGGAAUUCUCUCCUCCCUUCGCCGAUCGCCAACAGCCCAGUUCUUGAGUUUGUUUUCUGUUACAAUCUUUGUUCCUACAGCAAUCUCUAUUCCUCUCGAUGAGAAGGGGAAGAAGGAGAAAAUCCCUCCUUUGUUCCUGCGAUAUCUCCUCCUCUAUUCCGCGAGAGGAUGAAGAGGAGCUGCAGCCCUGUUUUCCGCAGGGGGAAGGGGGCAACCCACCGCAAGAAACCCCUCCGCUAUUCUCGUCCAUUGAGAAGAGGAGAGCAGAGGAUGCGAUCUCCCUCCUUCGCCAAUCUUGCACCAUCGCAUAGGGGGCGGAGAGAAGAAUCUGUCGCUGUGAUGCGCUCCUCUUUGGGGGUGCGAUCACAUCACAACCGCCGCCCCUUCCUUCUAGAACCCUCGUUGCAGUCACAACACCAUCGCCGUCGGUUGUAGAGAGUUGAAGGAGAAGGGUGCGGUCAGCAGCCUUCCCAUCGCCCUUCUCGGUCACAGCAGUAGCACCGUCCCCUUCCUUCCUCUUGCCCUUCUCAGUCACCGAAGAAGAAAAAGAAGAAGUAGGGCUUUUGUCUGCAAAAAAAAAGAGGAACAGAAUUGUGCGAUCUUCCCUUUCCUCCUCCUCUGUUCGCACCAGGCCCGUCGCCUUCACCCUCCUCUAUUCCUCGAGAGGAAGAAGGGGGCAACCCACCGCAAGAAACCCCUCCACUGUUCUCGUCCCUGAGAAGAGGAGAGCAGAGGAUGCGAUCUCCCUCCUUCGCCGAUCUUACACAAUCGCGCAAGGGGCGGAGAGAAGAAUCCGUCGCCGUGAUGCGCUCCUCUUUGGGGGUGCGAUCACAUCACAACCACCGCCCCUUCCUUCCAGAACCCGCGUUGCAGUCACAACACCAUCGCCGCCGGCUGUAGAGAGGUUCCUUGCCUUACCAUAUGGUCUUCGGUACAUAUCUUAUAUCCCUGUAAGUCAUAACGAUAUCAGAGUUAUUUAUCUUUUAGUCAUACAAACGGAGUUCACCAGUAAACUUGGAAACCAAUCACUAAGGUUUACUGGCCACAUUAGGUGCCUCAGUAACAAGGCGAGUCUCCUCUUGUAGCACCGACAAUGAUGAAGAUGGAGCCAACAGAAAUUUCCCAAG
rnacentral:lncRNA from 1 species